CAGGUAGCUAACUGAAACAACAAAAACAGAGAUCCUGGGUGAGAAGUCAGGAAAGCCAGCUCACACAGAAGCGUCCGCACGAGAGCCACGCGAAGCAGCACAGGACGGAAGCAGCGGGCAUCUCUGAGGAAGCAGGGCCUCAAGGUUCCAACUGUCAAGAUGGUCCGGGAAGAAAUGGUCUCGCUCUCCACACCCCCAAAGUUGGCCCUCAAAUAUGAGAAUCCAAAUGUGACUUUAUUGUACAGAUGGGAGCAGGUGACGAGCAAAGAGGUGCUGUUGUAUUCUUGCCAUGAAAAAGAAGAUUCAUCCUUCUCCUUUUGCUUAUAUAUUCAGCAGACCUUACAGCUCAAUAAAAGUGAG
ensembl:lncRNA